rnacentral:rRNA from 1 species
GACCCGUCUUGAAACACGGACCAAGGAGUCUAGCAUGUGUGCGAGUCAUUGAGUUUGUACAAUUUUUAAACGAACAAAACUGAAAGGCGCAACGAAAGUGAAGGUGGACGCUUGUCGUCCGCUCAGGGAGGAUGAUCGUCGCGGUCUAGAUCGUUCGAUUCGCACUCCCGAGACGUCUCGUUUCCAAUCCGUGAAUGCAGGCGCGCUCUGAGCACAAAUGCUGGGACCCGAAAGAUGGUGAACUAUGCCUGGUCAGGUCGAAGUCAGGGGAAACCCUGAUGGAGGACCGUAGCGAUUCUGACGUGCAAAUCGAUCGUCGGAACUGGGUAUAGGGGCGAAAGACUAAUCGAACCA